ACGGCUCAGUAACACGUGGACAAUCUAACCUACGGAAGAGGAUAACCCCGGGAAACUGGGGAUAAUACUCUAUAGACUAUGGAUGCUGGAAUGCUUCGUAUUCGAAAGGUCCGCCGCCGUAGGAUGGGUCUGCGGCCGAUUAGGUUGUUGUUGGGGUAACGGCCCAACAAGCCUGUAAUCGGGACGGGUUGUGGGAGCAAGAGCCCGGAGAUGGAUUCUGAUACACGAAUCCCGGCCCUACGGGGCGCAGCAGGCGCGAAAACUUUACAAUGCGGGAAACCGUGAUAAGGGAACUCCGAGUGCCCGUAAAAUCGGGCUGUCCAUCAGUGUAAAUAACUGGUGAAGAAAGAGCCGGGCAAGACCGGUGCCAGCCGCCGCGGUAAUACCGGCGGCUCGAGUGGUGGCCACUAUUACUGGGCUUAAAGCGUUCGUAGCUGGUUUGUUAAGUCUCUGGGGAAAUCUUCCGGCUUAACCGGAAGGCGUCUCAGGGAUACUGGUAGACUAGGGACCGGUAGAGGUGAGGGGUACUCCAGGGGUAGGAGUGAAAUCCUGUAAUCCUUGGGGGACCACCUGUGGCGAAGGCGCCUCACCAGAACGGCUCCGACAGUGAGGGACGAAAGCUGGGGGAGCAAACCGGAUUAGAUACCCGGGUAGUCCCAGCCGUAAACGAUGCGCGUUAGGUGUAUCGGUGACCACGAGUCACCGAGGUGCCGAAGAGAAAUCGUGAAACGUGCCGCCUGGGAAGUACGGUCGCAAGGCUGAAACUUAAAGGAAUUGGCGGGGGAGCAC
rnacentral:rRNA from 1 species